AACUUUCAACAACGGAUCUCUUGGUUCUGGCAUCGAUGAAGAACGCAGCGAAAUGCGAUACGUAAUGUGAAUUGCAGAAUUCAGUGAAUCAUCGAAUCUUUGAACGCACAUUGCGCCCGCCAGCAUUCUGGCGGGCAUGCCUGUUCGAGCGUCAUUU
rnacentral:rRNA from 1 species